GGCCAUAUCACGAUGAAACACCAGUUCCAGGUCAGUAUCCCAUACGAGCACCGAAGUUAAGCAUCGUCGAGCCUGGUCAGUACGUAGAUGGGUGACAGCUUGGG